rnacentral:rRNA from 1 species
UAAUCAUAUGCUUGUCUCAAAGAUUAAGCCAUGCAUGUCUAAGUAUAAAUGACUUUAUACAGUGAAACUGCGAAUGGCUCAUUAAAUCAGUUAUAGUUUAUUUGAUUGUGGUUUUUUACUACUUGGAUAACUGUAGUAAUUCUAGAGCUAAUACAUGUCAAAAAUCCCGACUCUUUCAUGGGAAGGGAGGCAUUUAUUAGAUCUAAAAACCAAUGCAGGACAUUCCAAACCACCAGGGUUUCGGCUUCGGUUUUGAACCUUGGUGGGUCCUGGUUUU